CCUUCAGUUUCAACAGCUCCCUCCUCUCCAUUGUGCCCUUAUCGCUCCCCACCGGGGUGGCAGAGAAAUUAAAUUACUUAUCGCCAACUUCAUUAACUCCCUUAUCUUUGCCGAGGCACAUAUCAAACAGAAUUUCUCUUAAACAUCUCCCCCUAUUCCCAGCCUUUUUUUUUUAUGCAUGAGAUAUCCCUGCCAGACAGCAGCGAGCCGAGCGAGUGCAUGAGAUGUAGUCCAAUAUGUCUUGUGAGAAAGGAUCAUCCAGCCUCACAAUGGUCAGUAAGGACGCCGGUGCUGAACUGUGAGGCCGCGCAGCGCUAAUGAUGAAACACGCUGUUAAUUACUGUUCCAUCAGUGCGUACAACUUAGCUUUGCCAGUGUUUUUACCUCAGACGACCAAUCUCGCACACUACAAAUUAGAACACGGAGUGUUAUUUCUCCACUGAGAAAUGUUCAGUAAGAUUGUUUCCAUGGAAACAGUCCGACAGGCAUUACUGUAAUGUGUCUGCUGUUUGGAGGCAAAAGGAAACUUCCAAAGUGGUGUUUCUCUUCAAAUGUUUGCAUUUGGCAGAUCGAUUUAAUUCAACGGAAACAUUCACAUCUAAGAGAACAUCAAGCAGGAGGAGGAGGAGGAGGAGCAGAGGAACACUGCCAAUUUGUAAAACACAAGACGCAAGUCUAGUCCUCUUUUAUUUGUGCUGCACGUCAGCUGAUGUCAUAGGGGAUCAGAAGGUCUCGUGUGGUACAACUUCAUGGAUAAGAAGGAAUGCUUUCUCUCCUGACAUCAUGAGCAUAUCUGGGGAACUAAUUUACUUUACACCAACUGGGAGUGUUGACAUGUAACACAUUCUGACCGCCGCACAAUUUUGUAAGUUACUCACUCACCACAUACUGUCAAUGGAUACAUUAUUAUGUUUGGGCAUAUUUGCACUUUAAAUGUCUCUUUAAAUUGGAUUACGUGUGAAUCAAUCCAGCGUAGCCCUUGACGUGAAAGUGGGGUUUACAUUUUCUUCAUACGUCCGGCUGCUGGGUUUGUGUUUUCUCCUCCGCCAUGUCUUUGUUUCCCGUCUGUUCCUCACAGGUGUGGUGAGUUGCUGCUGACGAUGCAGGCGUGGCCAGCUGUUUCUCCAGCCAAUCCAGCGCAGCUCUGCACUAUAAAUGUUUUGUUUGUGAGAGGUUAGAGAGGAUUGUGUUGGGAGAGAUUGAUCGAUCUGGGGGGUAUUCCAGAAAGCGGGUUAUGUGAAAACUCAGAGUAAGUUAACCCUGAGAUCAGGGAAACUCUUGAGUUAUCCGUUCCAGAUAGAGAAGUAACUGAAACUCUCAGUCAGUCACCAUGGUAACAGACUCUGAACGUAACCUGCUCACUGGCAGGGUUACUAUAUGAAACCCAGAGUUUCUACAGUCACCUCCCACAUGAAGAAAGCUGGUAGACAUGGAUUGCCCGUUCCUACCGAAUCCAAUUGACAUCGAAGCCUUAGUGAUUCGAAAUGCUUUACGUCUUCCGACCCAGAUUAGACGUUUUAUCAUUUCCAGAGGAAUUUCUGUUAGAACGCUACCGCUUUACUGGUAACUAGGAAACAUAUGGAUGACACUUAAUUCCUAUAGUCCACAUACAGAUUUAACACGGUAUUGAUCAAAAAUCUUACUGCUUCAAGCUGUGCACGUUGAUGGACCCUCCUACUGGUGAUGCCCAACCAUGUUCUGUUCAAGGACAAGAAUGUGCUAGUUAGCCAUUCUGCUCAUCACUUCAGUCUACAUGUCAAACUCCAAAUUCCACUCCAUGUGAAUGGGCAGAGCACAGCCAGUAGAUAAUAUUAAGACACAUUACUUUUAACUACCAUCUGAGGCAAGAUCUGAGUAUCUGCAGGGUUUACAACUGUGCAGAUGACACCAUCUACAACUGUUGGAUGGAUACACACACACAACCGUUCAAAAGUUUGGGGUCACUUAGAAAUGUAUUUUUCAAAGAAAAGCACUCUUUUUCAAUGAAGAUAACAUUAAAUUAAUCAGACAUACACUCUACAUUGUUAAUGUGGUAAAUGACUAUUCAAGGUGGAAACAUCUGGUUUUGAAUGAAAUAUCUACAUAGGUGUAUAGAGGCCCAUUUCCAGCAACUAUCACUCCAGUCUACUAAUGGUACAAAAAAUGUGUGUCUCCUAAGUGGGAUAUUAAGUGAAAAGACGUGUAAAAACGACAUUUUAUUAGGGGUUUAAUUUACUAUUUCAAGUAGCCACUGAAUUAACUUACUUUGUUUAAUAGCCAAAGUCAAUUAAAGAAAAUGAAUUAAAGUAAGGUGCAAUCAUAGCAAUAUAUGCCAUACCUUUUUUCACUGUUUUUAUAUUUCAUUUUUAGCUGCUUCCAGGUCCUUUUUUGGAUUGCACCUAAAAUGAAAAUCAGAUUACAUUCCUACUUAUAUUCAUAAUUAUAGACUGCGACGAUCUUACGGUUAGAUGUUAUGUCAAUGGAACAGUACAUUCAAACUUACGCGUUGACUUGGGAAGCGAUUUUUCCCCACGCGGUCUCUGGCGUGGUCCUAGGUAGUUACGCCCUCCUCCUCUCCCGAGAGGGUGUCGUACCUUAUUGCUUUUAUAAUAUGGUUACUAGCGAAAUUAUAAAUAGUAAGUAAAUAGCUGCCUUUCAGCAGAAAAUAGUUGUAGCCACCAAACGCUGUGUAUCGCAUUUCAGUAGUGUAGAGAAAAAUAGUCGCUGUACAUUCUUGUAAACAGCAUUGGGUCUCGUUGCAACGAAAGCUUGCAUCGCCUGAAACCGAUCAUUUGUGGAAUUUCUGGUCUUUCUUUGGCAAUUGCCACCGAGCUAAAAGCUGAAAUGUCAACUAACGGUCGCGUUACUUUUACUGUACUUUUACACCAAAUGGAGCACAGCUUGUUCAGUGGAAGCUUCAGACUAUGACGACAUACAGUACAUACUCCUUUAGUGUCUUGCAUGUGGUUUUGACACACAUCUAUUUGUGUUAUUUCAGUAUGUAACCUCACAUAUCUGUUACCCACUGACCGUUCACAUCGAGUUAUUUUGAUUGUCAGUUUAUAUUCGUCAGAGAGCAGUUAUUAAGUGCCUCCAUUCUGAUUUGUUGAAUUACGGCAAAAUUGCAUUUCUGUUGGCAACUUGAUAGAUGAUUUAAAUUGCAUUCACCUCUCGGCGCACAAAUGUAUUCUCUGAUAAUAAGAUUUAUUUAAAUCAAUUUCAUUCUUAUUUCUCUUGAGGUUUGCUGUUUUGUUCGCCUAAUAAAUUCACUCCUAUAGCCCCUUACAUGCACUCGCAGUAGAGGAUUAUUGCUUAAAAGUAGGACUUCCUGAGAUUAUAAAAGAGAAAUUAUGGUCAAUAUCAGAACAAAGGAUGCUCACAAUACUACUGUGUCCAAUCACCUGCACCUUCCCACUGCGUUUUUGCCCCCUUGGCAUUUUUUUUUAUACCAUUUUUAAAAAUGAAUAGAGUAUAUGAAUAAGAAGCUCUUCACAUGAAAUAAAAGUAUGUCGUCACUCUAGAAAAAAUCAGUCCUCCCUUAUAACCCUUUAUGUCACAUACGUGUAUGUAUGUAUUGCUCACUCACUUAAUAUGUGAAAACAUGUUAGUAGAAAGUCUAUAUUUCAUGUCAAAAUACAAUCCUCUCUUCUGCUGUAAACGUAACGUGUGUUUACGUAAUCUAGCACGAACCCAUAGGAUCAUGACAUCAUCUGAUGUGUGUGUGGAGCCCUUUAUCAUCGCCACACAUGGUGAGGAUGGGAUUACCACCACUGAUCAGGGCAGGUAAUGAAACCUCCUCACCUCCCACAGAGGGAUGAAUCCAAAUUGAGGUUUGCAUGGUUCGUAUUUCACCUGGAGAUUACAACGCUCACAUGGUUGUGUUCGCUCAUUUCCCCCAGUUCAUUUGGUUGCUUUAAGCUCAGAGAUGAAGUCCAACUGCGGCGCAUUGAUAAAAAAAAAAAGACGUGUAAACGUUUCUCCCAUCCGCAGCCAGGAAACGUUGUCCCUUUCUCUGGCAUCCUCUGAUAUGACGUGCACGAGGCAGAAGCAUGCAUGGAGGUACAUUGCGCUGUCAUCCACAGUCAGUGUUGGGACCAUACAGAUCGCAGGUUUUUUUUUUCCCGCUCAGCUGCCGCGGAGUAACAGGAUGGAGCUUGUUUCCACGCACCUCAACAGUCUUGGCCAAUCUUACAUCACGUCUCUCUGAUAUGAGACUCAUUUGACAACCCAAAGAGACAAUCCGCCGCCGUUCACGAGCAGCCGGCGUCCCACGUGACGGCGUGAGGUUUCUGCCGCUGAAGCAAGCUUUCCUCACUUCCGACUUGUCAAUUGCGCCCGCUCGGUCGGCGGCCUUAGGCUUCAAACUAUGACGAAAAAAAGAAGCAAACUUGGUAAGCUAACAGGACCACUUGGUUAGCUUCCGGCUCGCUCACAGAGAUGUGGAGAUGUCGUCAAUGUAGAUUCAAACGAGUAGUAACAGUAACCAAACGUAAGAAUACCGCUAACGUUACAUACUGUGAGCGGAAAACAAAUCGCUAUUGGAAACAACAGGCCUCGUCUGUCAGAAGGGGGGAAACGUCACAACCCUUCCAGACAUUCUUGGUCAUUACCUUACUCAAUGACUCCCACUGGUUGGAGUCAGUCUGGGUUGCUUUUGAAUUAAAUUAAAUGAGUCAGUAAGCAAGGAUCACUAAUUAGCAUUAGUUUCCCUUAACCGCGGAUGCCUGACUCUUUGUGAUUUUUUUUUUUUAAAUCAAUGGAAGGAUGGCCCCGCUUUAGGGUAAGAUUAGAUUUGGGUAAAAAUACACAACCUCGUUGAUUAUUGGCAGGUCAUUCCAGGUAUUUCUGACAUUUUAACCAUAUUGCGCUGCCUAUUCCCAUACUGCUGAAUACUUAAUUUCAAUACAUGUACUAUCCGACAUGACAUAACGCAACGGUUUCCUGAACCGGCCAGUUUUUAGCUAUCCGGUAAAACUAAUUAUAAAACAUGAUCGUGUAGUGUUUACAGGUGAUUUAACGGUGAUAAAGUAAGCGUUACCUCAUUACCUUUCGAGCCAAACACUGGUUUGAUUAUGAACGUUAGAAUCUUCUUAACCAGAGUCUGUGAAAGGACGCCAAUGCCGGUGAAUUUGCCGUGCAGCGUUAUAGCCAUGACCCGGCCAGACAUUCAUCUACAUGGUAAACCUUUUGUUUUUUGCUGGUAUUAAAUUACCAACAGUGCUGUCAACAAAUCCGGGAACCCAAUUCUGGCAUUUCAUAAUAAGAAAUCCCGCUUCCGAAACACCUCGAAAUAGUCUUACUGUGAGAGCGUUAUUUGCACUAACUCGUCGCCCCACUGCAUUGCUAACAAAAUGGCUUUUUUACAGUCAGAGUUAACGCAAGUUAAAAGCAGUUAUCCUUAGAAGCUUUGGGAUUUUUAUUAAUUCCUUCCAAGCCUUACAUUUUUUUUUUCAGUCAAAAUCAUAGUUGAUUUAUGAAUUGAUUCUUCUAUGUCCUCUUUCAUGCAAGAAAUAACUUUGACACGGUUAUGAUAAUAAAGUAAAGCUUACUGAAUAUUCGUAGGGAGAGGCCCAUCAUUUUAAAGUUGCAUGCUUUGGUUGUUCUUCCCUCCACCACAAACCCUUCUCAUCUGUUCCCAAAAGGAAACUACAGACUUUGACCCAGAAUCGAGUCUCCGAGCAGCUCAAGAGAUGCUUCGUACAAUGUCCUUGAAAUCUUUCUCUAACCUGAUUAUCCUAGAAAGAGACAGGAACAUGUAAAUGUUGUCGAUGCAAACUUAAGACAGAACAGUGAAGAAACAAAGAUCUGAGGAAUUUUAAAACAAUUUCUGGAAUAUUAGAUGCUCCGCUAUCUUUCAUGGAUUACUCACUUUUCUAAUAUCAAAUUCUGCCACUUUUUAAUCUCCUUUUUCUCCUCCUCAACGCAUCUAGUCUGCCUGUACAGCUACUCCAAUUCUACACCAUGGCGGUGAUACAGCCAACUAUACCUCUUCUAUACAACUAUACUCGUUCUCUCUAUCCCAAGUUUUUUAAAAGGCAUAUCAGUGCCUGACCAGUAAAAAAUAACUGGAUAAGCGAUCCAUAAUAAGAAGUGAUCUCUGUUGUGAUGGUUCAUUUCCCCACCUCUGUUCCACACAUUGAUUCUAAUUAUGGCCGAGCUGUUUCACCUUCUCCUCUGUAAGGAUUUUCGGUGUCAGACUCUCUCCCGGAGGUGCCUCCCCGAGAUAAAACAGGGAGCGGAGCCAACAUUUCUUACAGCCAGUGAGGCCGACAGAUUUAUCCGAUGACACACGGAGCCAAACAUCUGCAAACAAACCGCCACGUUAGCGCUAAACAAGUACUUGUCUUGUACAGUUUUGAUGCCAUGACGGAGAAUGUCUAUGUUAACAAUCCGCGUAUCUAUAAUGUAUCUAGACGAGUCAAUUGAGGGCAGUUAGUUUACAGCAGAUAUUUUCAAUGCUAACAUUAGCAAAUGCAAACAAAGCUUCUGAAUGCUUUGUCAUGGAACUUUGGAACUGAUGCCUUUUUCAUUGUGACAAGCUUUGGUUAAAUUACAUACAAUACAGUUGUAAUUUGUUUGUCUAAAAGACAUUUUAAUUCUGCGAUAUGUGUCCUAAUCAAAUGAGCAAAAAAGUUUUUCUUUUGCCAAAACCGCAGGAGAGUUAAGAAAUAAGCCUUUUUUUUAAUUCCCUCCGCCAGAUGUUUGGAUAUUUUUUAUUGGCACUGAAUUUCAUCCUUUUUUGUAAUUAUACCAUUUAUUAUUAUAAAAACAUGCUUUUUCAGUAAAUAAAAAGCUUGUGAUUACAAUAUUUCCCAUGAGCACCGCCACAUUGUGUCGUAGCAAUUCUGAUCCGGCUACCGUGUGCGUCUGUUGAGGAAUCAGGUGACGUUUAAAAGAAAGCUACAAGGAUUUCUAUUUGUGAUCAAGCCAAUGCUGCUGAAAGCCUUGCAGUGCUUACCUGAUUACCUGAAGCGUGUCUUGACUUUCAAAACCCAACACACAUACUUGUGAAUAGGUUAAUUCCCUUUAGUGGUUUAUCCUCCGAACUUACAAAUACAUACAAAUUACAUCCGUAUUCCAUUAAAACAUCAAUAUUUUUCCACAGGGUCAACGAAUCAACACAAUGUACUUUCACCGGCUGCUGCUUGUACAUUUUAAUACGGGCAGCUGAUUUCAAAGUGCAUUAUUGAGGAUCCCUAACUCCUUCAGAAUAACAUCAGGAGGCAGCAUGUUUAAUGGAUCCCAUCCAGGCAAAGUCUGAAUAGUAAUGUUUUUAUGUUCACAGGCUGCUGAUUUCAUCUCAAGAUCAGACCGCUAUCUGUCUUAGAAAAUAAGCCCAACACGUACGAGUUGUCCUUCAUCAAAAUUCCAAAGUGAGAAUUAGAACUGCUUUGCAAAACAUACUGUCCUUUCCGGUGGUUAUGCAAUAUCCUGUUUUCUCUAUUCAUCUCUAACAAUAGCUUCUCCUGCUCCGGUGCCACAUUUGGUUGGGACAACAUCACUGUGAGGCAGCUAAGUAAAUUGAGUUUCUUUCCAGCAGGAGUGCUUGUUUUCCAUCCUCGCAGGUUGAACACUGACCCUAACAACCCCGACCCCCCAGUCGGUGAAAUUGAAUUGUUACUCUCAGUUUUUCUCAGCACACAAUCUCCUGCCUGCAUGUUACAAUUUGCCCAAGCUGUCACUGGGCUUGCAAAGGGGUCAGAGAGUCAUUCUCUUCUCCAAGGAAUCUGUUUCCCGAAUGACUAUUUUUGUGCAAACAAACAAUUCCUGCCACUUCCCUUCACACCGGAGUGUCUGUUUCACUCCCCGAAUUUUACCCCGCUGAGGGUGAUUCACUGUGAUCAGUUUGCGCUCUGGAAUUUGGAUUGGCAUUUUUUUAUUUUACUAUCGUAUUUCAGAGGUUUUAUUAAAACUGUUACAUCUACAGAAGUAGUCUCAAAGAACACUUAUUUCUGUUAAAUGUGUAAAUAUUAAAAUAACUCAUUCAAAUAGAUCCAAAGAAAGGAAAUAACACAGAAUUCACCAUAUUUACUGAAUGUUCAUGGAUCUGUUUGCUUCAAAUUGCUGUCAAGAAGGUGCUGGGGAUAAAGGCAGGACGCAAACGAGUCUUUCGGAAACAAAAAGGGACUUUAAUAGUCCAAAAAGGUUUUCAAAAGCAAAAGGCCAAGGGGCAAAAACUCAGUCGAAGAACAAGAGACAUGGGCUUCUGACAACUAACAAUGAUGCAACAAGGGACAAAAGACACACAUGACUUAAAUACACUGGGAGGGUGCAGGUGAUUGGACACAGGUGGAAACAAUCAGACAAUCACAGGGGGAUGACAGGACAAGGCAGGAAGUGAAGUUACCCAGGGACACAAGAGGCAGAAAACUACAAAAUAAGAAAGGAAACAAACCCAAACUGUGACAAUUUCCACUUCCUUCCACUUAAAAUGAUACAAAUGGACCACUGGGGUCUUUAAACAAAGCUUGAGAUGAUGCCCCAUCACAGCAGCCUGCUCUCACCAAGUCCCGUACGGAUUACUCUACUAAUUUGCUGCUUUUGUUAUUUCGAUCCAUUUAGUCUGUGAGGAGGAGCAAGUGACAUAUCGUAAGUGAGAAGGACUACUUGAAGAUGGAUUGCAGAGGAUGUGGACGGGUCGAACGGGGCACCUGUGAAACCAAAAGAGUAACAUACAUGUUUCACGUUUGUGCACCUUCUUAUGGGAUCACAUGUUUAUAUGAUAUGUCUGUCGUUUUAAGACAUUCAUAAUAAGUCAUCAACUAUAAAGGUCUUCACCUGGCUUUGAUUUUGCAAGUCAGCUUUUGCAUUAAUCAUUCUCUCUGUUAAAGGAAAAUUAUGUUUUAACCGGCACUACAUAAUUGAUGCUGAUGUGAGCAUAACCACUUAAAAAGUGAUGAUACGCCACCAUCACCAUAAUUACCUCUGAAUUCCACUGGGAUGCAAGGCUGGAGUAAAAAUAAUCAACUCAUAAUGUGGCGUCUCAUUACCUUUUUUUUCUUUUGUACGUUUUCUUAUUAAUGUCGCGACACAGUGAAAAAUAAAUAAGUGUUCCAUUAGGUGUUCCCAUAAACAGGACGUUCAGAGUGGGCACCCUGGGGACUCCGCAUUCUCCAGUUUCACAAAGCCUCAAGAUUAAUUCAAGUCAUAUUUCAGUGGUGCACCGCAAGAAACAAAACCCCACAACAACACUUAGAAUAAUCACUUCAUUUAGUGGAUUGCAUUUGAUAUAAGUGAUGUUUAUUUGUCUAGAAAAUGUUUCCUUCUUUCUUGUAUCCCUAUAUCUUUGUCCUGACAAAUGAUGAGUGAGAAGAAACAAAAUGAUGGUUCUCGUUGGGUGCCAGGGUUUCAGGAGAUUAAAAAAUGACCCAGAUUGGGACAAAUUUAAGUGCACAAAGACCAAAAGCCGUUCAGCUAAAUCUUAAUUCAAUGUGUGCGUUUCUGCCAAAUUUGAAGAAUAUUCACAACAAUCCAACUGAGUAUUCACUGUGUUCUUAAAGUCUCCCCCUACUUAGCUGUAUCACUUACAUAAUCAGAUAAUACUAUUCGCUUAUUAGCUUGUUAGCUUAUCAAUGAAUUGACGCAAGGAGUCAAAUUCAAUCAAUCGGAAUAUUCAAAGCUUGUGAAUGGACACUUGCCGAGUGCGAGCGUUGGCACAAGUGCUUCAAAAGUAUCUUAUCCACGAAUUACUUCACUGUACUCUGAACUGCUGCGGUGUAUUUCCAAUGUGCCCAGGAGUCCUUCAGCACUCCGUUUCAAUUAGCAGCAGGCUAAUGGAUGUUGACACUGAAUCUACCCCCACUUUCAAAUCCGGGGGAAGCCGACUCCUUCAGACGAGCGGCACCACCUCGUCCGCGGCCGGGGCCAGAUGCUUUUGAGAUUCAGCGUGACAGCGCUGAAACCAGAUGGCCUGUGGAGUCUGACCCUCAUCCCAGGAAGUACGAGGCGAUGGUUAGAGGCUCGAAGUCGUGACGCAACUGGCAAAGACCUGUUCAGAUUCCAAGCAGGCGGCACAGCGGGCGCAGCCUGACCCAACGGACUGACUUUAUUGCCUCCCCAAUUACCUGCAUGGUGCUGGAAGUGCAAUCGGACAGUUAGUCCUUGAUUGAGCUUCAGUAUUGUCUCAACUGGUCCAAUCCAGUCGGAUAAAGCAGAGAAAAGGGUUGUACACAGCACUAAGGAGGCAUACAAAUGUACGUUUCUUUUUUUAGUUAAAAAAAUGUCAGAUUAAAGUCUACAUUAAUGUUUUGCCUGACACCAAUGUGGGUCCUCUUUUCUGGAAUGUUUUUGCUGCCAUUUAGCAGCCAAAUCAAAUAGUUGAAAUCAACACUUUGUUUGUUCAUAAUGCAUUUGAUACUAGUAAGUAAUCCAGGUCAAUGAGAUAUGAUUUCACAUGGAAUAACAACCCAUUUUCAUUUUUAGGGACAGUUAUGGCUGGUUGCCUGUUAGUCGUUGGCCUUUAGAUUCUCCACAGUUCAUUUUGUCUUUACGCCCUCUGGCGUUUCUGAGAAUAAGGCAUUGAGCAAUAACUCCUCGUUGCACGCUCUGCAGGAAGAUAACAAAGUUUAACGCCGAUGUCAAGCUGCUCUCACCGGGGUCGACUUUAAAUGAUUUUAUAUUAAUCCCUCACCAACAUUUCCCCGAAUUAAAGGUUAAAUAUUAACAAACCAUCAAUAAUAACCGUACUGAACUUUCUAAUUAUAGCCGCUAAUAUUUGCACUGACGACUGCACUUUGUUGUGUGAUUUACGUAAACAAAUGCAAAUUGAUUUACUUAACAAGGCGAUCUCUAUAGCGUGAACUUCACAGGGAAUCUAAAGGCUGUUUGAAUUCUGACAUCCUGCUUUGCACGAGGCAACGUGUGUAAUUCUCACCCACACACACUGCAGUUUGCAUAUCCUGCUAUUGAGGCGUCAGAUUAACAUAAUGUAUUACAUAAUAAAAUACUAAUAUAACAAUGCAUGUCCUGUCCUUAGUUACCGACUAACAGUAACUUAAACUAGGGGUGAAGUUGUGGGCAUUUGCCAGGCUGUGGGGUCUAAUGAAAGAUGUUAUCAAGCCAUAUCAUUGUGGUGAGGUCGGUAAGUGUUUGAGAGGUACUAGGGACUUCUCAAUGUAUUUAUUCAUUUAAUUAGAAUUUUGAAAUGUGAAAGAUGCUAUCUCGUUCCGUUAUAGGAGGUCUAAGAGGUUUUUAGUCGUGACCUACACAGACUGAAAGUCUGGAUGGCUCAAACCAUUUUGGUAGAAAAUCUCCGACUUGAGCCUGAAACCAUUAUUUAAACCUCAAGUUAGUCUUUUGAAGAAGGACCAGACAAAAAGUCACAACAUUACAAAUGUCUUCACACUUGGAAGUGGUCCUCCGAAAGAUAAUAGUACAAGAGUACACACACACACUUUCACUGUAAGUGAAACAAGGCUUCGCACGUCACACUUUCGGGCAGCAGUUAUAUUUUUAAAUGUGGAUUUGAAGCUGCGCUCUACUUUUAUUAAUAAUACAUCUACAGCAAUAGAAUUCCUUGAGACCUGUCAAAGCAAAAUGGUCAAUUUAGGACAUUCAAUGCGAAUGUGGGACGACACCGACGCACAUUAUUUCAGUUGGGCUUGUCAAGGAGUUGCUUUGCAUCGGUCAUCCUCUAUCGUUUAGUUCAAAGGUUAUUUGGAGAAAGGACUUGGAGGCGCGGACCGUCGGACAUCACAAACCGCACAAAGCUACAACAAAUCAACCCUCACCUCCUUGGUCAACUGAAUCAGUGUGAUUGACAGAGCAAAGUAAUGAAUCCUCUCCGCUAAACGGGGGUACCGGGUUGGUGUGGAGGGUUAAAGGAUCUCACACACGUUGGGCCGCUUACUUUUCACAAAAUGCCAGCGUAAGUCAUGCGUUCCUCUUCCUCCCUCUCAUCAUUCUGCGCUGUGGGCUCGAGCUGAGGGCCGUUAAACGUUCGUUCUGGGAUCCCGCGAUGCGUUUCCUCGCUGUCAGACGACCAAUCGGGGACAUGGAUGAGUGUUUUGUUCGCUCCGACUCAAAACAUUUCUCCCUUUCCUCAGUGGUGUGCUUUGAAAUGAAUACAGUAUACUGGACUUCAGGCACGUUCAUGUCAUUUCCAUAUCUAAUUACUGUCACAUUGACAUUCACAAUGCACACGACACGGCAUCAUUUCUCACCACUGUUGAGACGGUGAGACUUCUAAUGGCUCAGAGGAAGACCUGGCAUCCGACACCUUUCACUUUCUCUCGCAGCUAAGGCAUUAAUUAACGAGAGAUUUAAAUAAACACAGAAUGGUCGGCCGUGUUAAGGUAAGUUUUAGAGGAGUAAUUGCAUGUAAAUACAGCUCGUAGUCCGUGAUGGUGUGAAGCAGCCGGGGUUGAAGAAACGUAUUUAGAGGAGCGAUUCGCGAUGAGUAGUUGAUCUGGGAGUAAUUGCAUAUUAUUUGUCACUCACCACCGAAGUGAUGCGAGCGCAUAGUUCAUAGUUGGCAGCUAUGAGUAGCAGCUUGCAGAGUUACUAAUCCAGGCCGAGUGCUAAAACUUGGUCAUUUAUUUAUUUAAAACGUUUAUUUUCCCAUUAAAAGUCAACGCAAUUCUCCUGGUGUCUUCAGGGAUUCGAGACAAAACGUUUGAGCCCGUUUUACUUUAACGCAUUCAUUUGGGAUUACAGUCUAUUUCUAAAUAUACCAAUAGUGCCGUCAUGCUACAUAUUUUUUUCACUAUAAAUACUGAUGAUCCACACAAAUAUUCAGUGAACGCAUCAAGGUUGAGGGAACGAAGUAUAAAAUAUAGAAGAUAUAAAUGUUUCAUAGCGCUGUGGACGGUGCAUCAUCAAUCUGCUCCCAUCACAACAUGUGAGAGUAUUUACGUCAUGUGAAAUUUGAAUGGAUAAAAAAAUGCAAAACAUGUCAAUUAAUUCUCUGCCAAUAACAUAAACAUGACUGUUCUAUAAUUAUUCCUGAAUAUGAAUGUAUUAGUGAAUACAUGCGAAUAGAAUGAAAACAUCUAUUCAAGGGGACUUUCAAACUAUUUUUUGGUGCCUAUUUUCUUGUUGCAAAUUAUUAUAUAUAUUAUAUUAUUAUAGAGAUCUGCAGUAAUAAAUCCCAGAGCCCCAGAUGUCACUGAUGCUCCUGCUGCUCCUUAAGAAGGGUUCCUGACGAUUGUAUAUGCAGGACAGGUGUGACAGCAGGCAGCCACCAGACUCCGCCCAGGUAACCACGGAAACCUGCUCGCCCAGCCUGAAACUCAGAAACACCUCCAAGCCAAGUCAGAUCAUGACACCAUGAAACCCCCCAAAAUGAGAAAACCUCACUGAUCAAAAGAUCAUUUUCUAAAUUUGAGAGGGUUUUACAUUAAUCUCCUCUCUGGCGACCAACGCGUAUCUUGAAUUUAAGAGGAAAAACUAUGAUAUUUUCAAUUUACAAGAUUAACAGUUAUUUUAACCCAAACAACCAUUUUCUAAAGAUAUUAAACUAACUAUGUUGCCAACUCUUAAAGUUGAAAUUCUAAUUGUAGUUCUUUCAUACAAAGCAGCGACAAAUAUUUGAAUACGGUUGUUGGGUGAAGCCUCCUGUUAAAGAAAAUGAAAAGCAAUCAGCGGGAUUCUAAACUGCUGCGAUCAGUCAAUAGAUUUUUUUCCUUUAGAAUCUAAUAAGCAAAAAUCCAUCCAGCCAGUGAUUGGAUUCUAGGAAGGUGAACAUAAUAAAGAUGCUCCCCUCUAGAUGGAAAUCUGAUGUAUGUGUGUGUGUGUGCGCGCAAGCAGGACCAUGCAUGAUGAUUCAUUUCAUUAUGCCCACUUUACUGUCUCAGUGAUGUCUUAAGUGGGGACGGAAAAUUAGAUGUCAUCAGGAGACGGUGAUAUUAUUCUGUUGAGCUCUUUUGGAUUUGAAAGUCGUUUGCUUGUUUUUACGACUGGAGGAGGGCGUCAUUGGGGGGGACGGGGAGAAUUUGUAAUUUCGCCGCCUCGCAUUCAAUUUAGCAAACCCACUUUGUUCAAACAACACACCUCACUUAGGCCUUAACCUUAUCUCUACUAUACAGCACCGGAGUUUGUGAAUCUAUUACGGCCUCGAUGCGAUGCUCUUGUAAUACGAUAAAAAUGAAAUGUGUGUAUAUCAGCAAAAUCGGCUUGCGUAGACACCUUGGCUUUAACUCGAUUAAAGACUCGGACUGGAUUUGAGAAACUUGGAGUUGUGAAGAAGAUCUACAGCUUUAGCAGGACCAAAGGCAGAGCAGAGGAAGUGAAAUGUUUAAGACGCACGGUAGAAAGUGUAGCAAGCCCAAACUGUGUACACUGGAAGCUGGUCUACCCCCACCCCCUUUGGUUGGAAGGUUUUCUGUGAGAAUCUGGAACCUGGCUACAGGGAUUUUUUCCCCAUUAGAGAGGUCAGCCACUGAGCAAUAAAGCAUUGGAUCAAAGCCGGUUUUUCUAGUUCAUCCCAAAGCUGUUGGAUGGGGUUGAAGUCUUUUACUACCAAAAUGGGCAAAGCAUUUCUUUAUGGACCUGGCUUUCUGCAUGUCGGGGCACAGUAAUGUUGGAACCAAACGAAGAUGAAAAACAAUCACAGGAGGCUUAUUUGUGAAAACACACUGGAGGGGCUGGAAAGCUGAAACUAAAUGAAAGGACAGGAAUUAUGGACACGAUGACUGAAAGGAUAAAAAAAUAACCAUCUUACAGGCUUGUUCUAAUGGACUCAGACGGUCUAACAAAGAGAGAUUUGGAACAUAUGAGGCAUCGUAAUACUUCCCAAAAUUACUUUCAACUCUGACACAGAAGUUAUUUUGCACCUCCCGCCUGAUGCAGACUUUCCUUUUUUAUUUCAGUCAAGUGCCUCUUUAAACCAACGAGUGACCCCGCUUAUUCUAAGCUUCCUAUCCAUCACUUCAGGAACCAGACAACACAUUGGGGUGCGGUUCAGUCGAGGAGCUGAGUGUGAUGUAUGACUGUCUACUAAUGCCAUCAUAACUAUUCCCUAGUGGCACAUUAAUUCACUUUUAUGGUUUCCCCUCCAAAGCCACUCUCUUUUCCUUCUCAUACUUCAGAUGUUAUUUUUGUGGCCCGCUGUGAUUUAUUAGCCUAAAUCUUUAAGGACGCUGGUAGUUAAUAGCGGCUGCAAAUCUACAGCAGCAGCUACAGCGUAUAGCCGCAACCUUCCUUCCCGUGACGCAGCACGAGAUGAAAAAGCUCAGCAGAGCGCUGAAUAAACGAACCUCAGUCGCAGGUCACAUAUCAUAAGGCUGGUGGGAGUACAAAUUGCAUCUCUAAAUCAACAUCUUUCCCUCACCGCCUUAAAGGUAUACCUGCUUAGAAGUAAUUACUUUGCAUAUGCGUACGGUGCACUGCCGAUUUGAGGUAUUGCGUCCUUCCUCAAGGAAGUUAAUGAAUUCAUGGUGGCUUGUUUACUUUCAUUCGCUGAUUCCACGGACUUCAGGAAUUAGUUUUGAACUUCAUGAAUUGACCUUGGGACUUUAUGCCACGAUUGUAAAGCAUUGAGGGCAUAAUUGGUAUAACUCAGAAUAAUGUGGUACUGGCAUGUUGGUCAUACUAAUUUGUUUUUGGGGGAUUUUUUGAGCUUGGAAGGUGCGAGGUCUAAGACGUGGCCAGAAUGUUGGAUCACAACAUUCAAUAAAUUAACUGCGAUAAUAACACAAUGAGAAUAUAUUACAUUUUUUUAUAAUACCGAAAUUAAGCAGCUAGCCUCUGCCUGUCCUGUCUGGUGAAAAUGACAUUUCAAUUGCCCUUCUGUUGACAAUUUAGCAUUUUUAAACAUUACUGAUAUUGAAUGGAUCCAAUAGAAGAAGUGACAUGCUGGACGCUAAUUCUCUGUAGCACGUGUUCCCACGAGACACUUACUCACCUCCAGCUUUGUGCUGCUUUUGUGUACAAUGCGUCGGGAUAUCUUCCCGAAACCUUUGACACUCUUCCUCACCGUGAUGGUUUCCCUUUGCAUCUGUUGAUGUGCAUGGUUUAAUUUUAGUUUAGAAAUCCCCCCCCCCCCACAAAAGGACGGAUUCGGCUCCAGCACAGCGCCACUGGGGUCCAGCGCUGUCAAGGGCGCUUAAGUCGAGUGAACGUUUGCUGUCACGGGAUUUUUUGGGUUCAGACCAUCACGUGGAAGGACAACCGAUCUGCUCAUUACACCAUCAUGCUGCACUGCUUUCAUCCCAAUGCAAUAAUGGAUAUGCUGCCGAGGUCAUGGAUGUGAUUCUACGUGAGAGGCCAAAGGCAAGAGCAUCUGACCGUUACCGCUGUGAAUCCUAUUUCUGAGACUUUUUCUUAGAAGUGCUGAGAAAAAGUCUGAAUGGCGAUAGCUGAUUUCUUUCUUGGUAGUUUCUAAAACUCAAGCUGUCACGCUAAGUGUUCCCCCCUCUAGACAGAAAUACAGAGGAAUAGGGAACGAAAGUAACGCUUUUACUUCUAUGGAUGCUAUUUUUUGCUGCACUCCAAAAUGGUGAUUAAUUGCUUCUGCCAUGCAACAUUUAUAAUGUUCCAGGAAAACCUCAGGAUGUCCGUGUUGUCUUUUGUUAACCCCACUGGGACAGCUCUGGUCCUACCUUACUGCUUUUACGUCGCUUUCUUUUUUCAUCGACGUGCUUCGAUCCAAUAAGCUCUUUGCCAUGUUCUCUCUGCCAGCUUCUUCUCUAUUUAUUAUAUUAUAUUUUUGGAGAUUUCAGCCUUUUCAAUAUGUUGUACCUUUUUUAUAUAUGUAUUUAUUUGUCAUCAUACUGAGUUUAAAUCUAAGCAGCUUAAUGCCCAAUGAACCAUCGUCUCUACAUGACAUGAGGUUAAAAAUGUGCAGGUGCAUUCAAAGCAACCAAUAUCAAGUUGACCUUUUUCACAGCAGACAUUUUGACUUUUCACAUCAGGAUUAAUAAUUUUCAUGAUGGCUCAGUUCCAUUCCAUUCCUAGUCUUUACACACAAUAUUGUGACCUCCCCUAAGUGGAUUGCUGCCGUCAUUAAUUCCAUCUGUGCUUCUCCCCCCCCCCCCCCCCCCCCAAAAAAUGGCAAAGUGGUGGCCAUUAAAAAAGGCUAUUGGCAAGACUUUAAUUGUAAAGGGGGCCUGGGACUCUUUGGAUAAAGAUGGGUCAAGUGACUGUGCAGGGGGACUUCUCAAUUUAUCCCCCAAACAUCGAGGGGCCGAAAAAAAAAGGGACUUGCUUCUUUUGACGGGAAAGGCGCCAUUG
ensembl:lncRNA